rnacentral:lncRNA from 1 species
GUGUCUCGCCUACUUUUGCUGUUAAUCACACACUCAUCAAAAAUGAUGAAAAAAAAUCAAUAAAAUUAUUCCUCUCGAUACUAUCUUUUGAUUGUCAGAAGCUUCUGUCCAAGUUUGGUAAAAAUCCAGGCUAGUUUAAGAAUCUUAAAAAUGUUUUAAAUACUUUAACUGCAGACUGUAUGUAAUGUUAACUGGAAGAAAAACUAAGUCCAUUUAUAAGUAAAAUACGGGAAAAAUGGAAUUUUAUUUUUACAAAAUUUACUUCUGGAUACUAUCUCCUGAUCAUAAACAAGCUUC